rnacentral:rRNA from 1 species
GAUGAACGCUGGCGGCGUGCUUAACACAUGCAAGUCGAACGGAAAGGCUCCUGCUUGCAGGGGUACUCGAGUGGCGAACGGGUGAGUAACACGUGGGUGAUCUGCCCUGCACUUCGGGAUAAGCCUGGGAAACUGGGUCUAAUACCGGAUAGGACGAUGGUUUGGAUGCCAUUGUGGAAAGUUUUUUCGGUGUGGGAUGAGCUCGCGGCCUAUCAGCUUGUUGGUGGGGUAAUGGCCUACCAAGGCGUCGACGGGUAGCCGGCCUGAGAGGGUGUACGGCCACAUUGGGACUGAGAUACGGCCCAGACUCCUACGGGAGGCAGCAGUGGGGAAUAUUGCACAAUGGGCGCAAGCCUGAUGCAGCGACGCCGCGUGGGGGAUGACGGCCUUCGGGUUGUAAACUCCUUUCGCUAGGGACGAAGCGCAGGUGACGGUACCUGGAGAAGAAGCACCGGCUAACUACGUG